rnacentral:misc_RNA from 1 species
GAAAUGCGAUAAGUAAUGUGAAUUGCAGAAUUCAGUGAAUCAUCGAAUCUUUUAACGCACAUUGCGCCCGCCAGCACUCUGGCGGGCAUGCCUGUUCGAGCGUCAUUUCAACCCUCAGAACCCCUUGCGGGAUCUGGCGUUGGGGAUUGGCAUCCAGCCAGCCCCGAAAUCUAGUGGCGGUCCCUCCGCGACCUCCCCUGUGCAGUAGCGAUACCUCGCAGCGGGACAGCGGUCUGACCACGCCGUAAAACCCCCAACUUCUCAAGGUUGACCUCGAAUCAGGUAGGAAUACCCGCUGAACUUAAGC